rnacentral:rRNA from 1 species
AGAGUUUGAUCCUGGCUCAGGACGAACGCUGGCGGCGUGCUUAACACAUGCAAGUCGAACGAUGAAGCCCAGCUUGCUGGGUGGAUUAGUGGCGAACGGGUGAGUAACACGUGAGUAACCUGCCCUUGACUCUGGGAUAAGCGCUGGAAACGGCGUCUAAUACCGGAUACGACCUGCCCCGGCAUCGGGUGCGGGUGGAAAGUUUUUCGGUCAAGGAUGGACUCGCGGCCUAUCAGGUAGUUGGUGAGGUAAUGGCUCACCAAGCCGACGACGGGUAGCCGGCCUGAGAGGGUGACCGGCCACACUGGGACUGAGACACGGCCCAGACUCCUACGGGAGGCAGCAGUGGGGAAUAUUGCACAAUGGGCGAAAGCCUGAUGCAGCAACGCCGCGUGGGGGAUGACGGCCUUCGGGUUGUAAACCUCUUUUAGUAGGGAAGAAGGGCUUCGGCUUGACGGUACCUGCAGAAAAAGCACCGGCUAACUACGUG